CUCAUUGUCCUUUUAAUGAUAAAUAAUGAUGUCAUGCCCUUAUAUUCACCAUGUGAAGUAUCCAAAUGCAUGAUAUCAUUUAGACUCUGUAAUAAAGGUCCAAUUAUUCUUAUGUUAUAGAAAAUCUACUGUAAACAAAAUAGUCAUCAAACUCCAAAAAAAAAAAAAAAACAAAAUCAUGUUGCUCAUAACAAUCAAGUUGUUCUUUGUUAUAGAUUUUUUUAAAGUCAUUUGAGGAAGAGAAGUUGACAGAGGACACGUAGUUGAGACAUUCUAUAACAAUCAUACUUUAGUCAAGUGUGUUUUCUGAUGUAAAAAAUGAAGCCUGUGCUGAUCCUGAUAAAACAUAGGAACCUAAAAAAGAGUCUACUUUUUUCCAUUUCUCACUGUGCAUCAUUAGUGGCACGGCACGUUAUUUAGUUCCUUUGCGAGAUGAAGUUGCUGUGAGGACCUUUAUUCCCCCAUUUGAGUAUAUGAAAAAGAAGAUUCUCUAGCUCUAUCAAGGGAUGACCAUAUUCACAACAAGAUUAUCCAACCAAAGGGGGCUUGAUAUAAGUGUUAAUCAUCAGAAAGUGAAAACUUAGAUAAAGGAAGAAAAAAAAUCAGAGACCAAUUAAUUCUCCAUCCAAGCUAAUAUGUGUGUGUGUAUAUAUAUAGGGGCAGAUUUGGAUAAGGUUAAUUGGAUUUGGGUUCAGAUCCGAUUAGGUCAAAACUAGAUAAUGGGGAUUCUACAUCGAUUAUCCAAACUGUGGGAUAUGAUUAACUAUCUCCAAACUACUUACACACCAAAAUCAUAUGGUUUGAAAACCUCUAGUCUAUACAUCAAGCGAUCAAAAAAUACAUCUAAUUUAAUUUUAUUUAGGCUAUUCAAUUUUUGACUACUUAAUGUAUAGGCUAGGGGUCUCCAAAUCAUUUGAUUUUUUAUGUGCAAUCAAUUUUAAGGUACUGGAUU
rnacentral:lncRNA from 1 species